GUGCGUAAAGUGUAGCUGGUAGAGUGGCUGACGCUAGAAGAGCAGCACAUCGAUGGUCGCUCCGUGCGAACCUCUCCAAGUUAUCUGUGUGGAUUAGUUUUUGGCCACAGUGCAAAAGUUGUAGAAUUGUUUUUUUGUAACUUAAAGUGUGACGACCAAGUGUUCUUCUGGGAUAAUGUGAUCAUUGAUAAGUAAUUGUGACUUUAGACGGCCUUGAGGGGGCGGUAGAAUAAAUGCCCCGCGAUGCAGGCUCGUCAUCUAACUUAGAAUAUAGCCGGUCGUACGGCUGCUGCCGUGGAGUAAGAUGUUAAAGUUCUUAACGAGUUUCGGCACCGCGACGUGACAUGGAAAGAGCAACAUGGAUUCUUCUCUGCCUUUUUGGCCUUUGGUCGCUCGCAGAGGGAUACUUAGCUGUCUUAUCUUCAAAUUUACCACCUGGCACCGUCGUAUUCGAAGCCGGUGUCCCCCAGCUAGGCGGAAAACGUAAAUACGAAGCUUCGGCGGACCGAACAGCGUGGUUUGCCAGAAAACUUCUCAAGGUCCACCCUCACACCGGACGGGUCACUUUGAUAAAAAGUCUCAAUUGCGACGGGCUGCAAUACCCCAGAUUAUUCACAUUUUACAUCGAUUCGACGAGCUCGAGACUAGGCAGGCCCACCAUAGAUUAUUAUAGUUUACCUUUAAGGGUUUUAGUCACUGGAUGCGGUGGAGAGAACCAAGACUUGGCGGCUACGAAGGGUUGGAUGCCGGAGACACUCGCGUCUUAUGCGAUGCCGAGCACUGAUAGAUUUACGGAAAUUUGUCUCAAAACUUCUCAACUCGUCGCUGCUCUCAGCGAUUUUUUACCAUCGACGGCCCUCAAAGAGUGCGAAACCAAGUGGGGCGGAGUUGCAGAUCCGAGAUUCCUCGUCGAAGGAGCCGCUGGAGAUUUGGUCUCAGCUGCGGAGCAAUGUCUAGUCGAUCCACUGUGGAAGAUAUCGGUUUCGAUGCGGCUGAAAUGCGGAGCCGCUCAUCUCGCCGACGCCGAGCAUAGACUGAAAGUUGUUUUCCAUCACCAACAGCUGGACGACAGUGACCUUGGAAGACGAGUACGAAGAGAGCUGAGGAACCAAUCACCCUUUUUCGAGCAACCUCUGUACGUAGCUCACGUCGACGAAGAGAAAGAACCGGGUGCAUUUGUGGAGGUUGUGAGAGCUAGAGACCCAGAAGGAGGGCCGGUUCAGUAUUCGAUGAGCUCGUUGAUUGACUCGCGUUCUCGGAUGCUUUUUUCACUAGAUAAAGUAACAGGGAGGGUCACCACGAGCGCUAGAUUGGACAGGGAAAGCGUGAACGUUCAUUACCUCAAGGUGUUGGCAGUCGACGAUUCGUUUCCUCCUAGAACUGGCACUACAACCCUCCAGGUCAAUGUUCUGGACACCAACGACCAUGCGCCGGUGUUUGAAAUGACCGAAUCGUACGAAGCCUCCGUCAGAGAAGGUGUUCCGAUCGGGAGCACGGUCGUUGCCAUAAAAGCAACGGAUCAAGACGCGGGAAGGAAUGCGGACGUCGAAUAUACCAUCGCGUCCAUCAGUGGGGGUGGGACUACGACAACCUCGGAGGACGCGGCGACCUUCAGGAUAGAUCCAAAGUCCGGCGUUGUGACAACGCGGAGUUCCCUCGAUCGUGAGAAAACUGAAGUUUACACCGUUAUCGUUCAGGCUUCAGACCUCGCGAUGCCCGCGAUGGAACGAAAAACCGCGACCACUACUCUCGUCGUUCACGUCUUGGACGACAACGACAAUUAUCCGCAAUUUUCCGAACGCAUAUACACAGCUACGAUUCCCGAAGACUUGGACUACACUACGAAUCCGGUUGUUGCACAUAUCCGAGCGAUGGACGCUGACGCCGGAGUGAACGCGGCUGUAAGAUACUCCAUCAUCGGCGGUAACACUCAGAAUACAUUUUUGAUAGACUCCUUGAGUGGAGACGUAACGUUAAUGAAGCCGCUCGAUUACGAAACGGUGAAGAGUUACCGUGUCGUGAUCCGUGCUAACGACGGUGGCAUCCCGGCGAGAGCGAACACCACGCAAUUCAUCGUGUCAGUUAAGGACGUUAACGACAACUCGCCGAGGUUCUACACAAGCCUUUUUCAGGAAUCUGUUUCUGAGAGCGCCCCUAUCGGGUAUUCGGUACUCAGGGUCCAGGCUUACGAUGCCGACGAAGGACUCAACUCCCUGCUGAAGUAUUCUAUAGGUCCUAGAGACUCUUCGGGCACCUCUACGGAAAACUUUCCGGUCACCGUUAAUCCGGAAAGCGGGUGGAUUUACACCACUCUGCAGUUGGACAGGGAACAAUGUUCCAAGUACCAGUUCACCGUGAUAGCCAGCGACUCCGGUGAGCCCUCAAGGACAGCCAGUGCCUCCGUCAUCCUAACGAUUAUGGACAUCAAUGACAACGAUCCGGUCUUUGAACCGAAGAAUUACGAAGCGAUUAUAUCGGAAGACGACUCUCCGGGAACUCCGGUAGCUUCGGUAACGGCGACUGACCCGGACGAGGACUCGAGAAUCCACUACGAAAUUACAUCCGGAAAUACGAGGGGCCGGUUUUCGAUAACGUCGCACAACGGACGGGGCUUGAUAACCGUCGCUCAGCCUUUGGAUUACAAACAGGAGAAAAGGUUCGUCUUAACCGUGACGGCCUCGGACUCGGGCGGCAGGAGUGAUACAGCGCUGAUUUACGUCAAUAUCUCUGACGCUAACAAUUAUGCGCCGGUAUUUGAAAACGCACCGUACGGAGUUUCCGUUUUUGAAGAUGCUCCCGUAGGCACCACCGUCUUGGUGGUCAGUGCGACAGAUUCUGACGUCGGACAAAACGCUCAAAUUACUUAUAGUCUAGGUACUGAAACCGGGGAACAGGACACUACGGAGUUUGCCAUAAAUCCUCAGACGGGUGCCAUAACGACUACAAAAGCCCUUGACCGUGAACAACUGUCCGGGUACCUUCUCACCGUCACCGCAAAGGACGGUGGAAUUCCACCUCUUUCCGAUACGACGGGAGUCGAAAUAUCGGUAACAGAUGUCAACGACAAUGCGCCAGUCUUUGACGCCCUUCAGUACCAAGGGUCGAUUCCCGAGGACGUCUUGGUCGGAACCAGCGUACUUAGAAUAGCCGCGACUGACGCGGACACCGGAAGGAAUGGAAAAGUCUGUUACGCUUUCCAGGACGAUGGAGACGGUUCCUUUGCGGUCGAUCAAAAUUCUGGAGUCGUAAGAACGGUUAAGCCCUUGGACCGUGAGUCAGUCGCGCGGUACAAUCUGCAGGCUAUUGCAGUUGACAAAGGAUCGCCUAGUCUCUCGUCAUCUGUAACGAUAGUAGUCAAAAUCGAGGACGUCAAUGACUCCCCGCCCGUGUUCGAGAACGACAAAAUCAUCCUUUAUAUUCCUGAAAACUCCCCUGUUGGCUCAACGGUAGGGGAAAUCUAUGCCCACGAUCCUGACGAAGGACCAAACGCAGUCGUACAGUAUUCGAUCACCGGGGGAGAAGACGCGAACAGCUUUUCGUUGAACGUUAAACCCGGAGCGGACCGUGCAGAGUUGAUUACUCUUGAAGAAUUAGACUACGAGUCCCAUAAAAAAAAGUUCGAACUCUUUAUUCGCGCAUCUUCGCCACCCUUGAGAUCCGACGCCGUUGUCCAGGUGAUGGUCACCGAUGUCAACGAUAAUGCACCCGUUUUGAAGGACUUUCAAGUCCUUUUCAACAAUUUCAAGGACUUUUUCCCUUCCGGACCGAUCGGCCGAAUUCCAGCGUUCGACGCUGACGUAACUGACAAAUUAACAUACAACGUUUUAGCGGGAAAUAACGCGAAUCUCAUUACUUUAAAUAAAACCUCCGGAGAAAUAUGCCUGUCUCCCCAACUGAAUACCAAUGUACCCAGGAUCGCUACUAUGGAAGUGUCCGUCACGGACGGAGUCAACGAAGCAAAAGCCACAAUGACCUUAUCCGUCAGGUUGAUCACCGACACGAUGUUGUUCAACUCGAUCACCGUCAGACUUGACGAUAUGACCGUCGAAGCUUUCCUCAGUCCACUUCUUGGAUACUUUUUAGACGGUCUCGCCGCCAUCAUCCCGUGUCCUCGUGAGAAUAUCUACUUAUUCAACGUCCAGGAGGAUACCGAUGUUCAUGGUAAAAUACUCAAUGUUAGUUUCUCCGCUCGUAAAGCGGAACCAGGGUCUUUCGACGAGUUUCACAGUCCCCAAUUCCUUCAGGAGAGAGUAUACCUCAAUCGGGGAAUAUUGGCAAGGCUUGCCACCGUCACAGUUCUACCAUUCGACGAUAAUUUGUGCGUAAGGGAACCCUGUCUAAACUUUGAGGACUGCGUGACGGUACUGAAAUUCGGAAAUGCGUCUGGUUUCGCCAGUAGCGAUACUGUUCUUUUCCGGCCGAUUUAUCCAGUCACAACGUUCUCCUGUAAAUGCCCAGAGGGUUUUACCGGGAGCCGCGAAGCAUAUUUGUGCGACACGGAAGUCAAUUUAUGCUACUCGAAUCCCUGCGAAAAUGGCGGAACAUGCGAGCGGAGAGAGGGCGGAUACACCUGUACAUGCGCUGAAGGUUUCCUUGGGGAAAACUGCGAGAUUAAUUUGCAUGAGGAUACCUGUUUGCCCACACUUUGCAAAGGAAGUUCCCAAUGUUCAACAAGAACGAACGGUGGAUUCAUUUGCGAAGCGUGUCCCGUUUCCGAUUUAGAAAAUACAACACCCCUCUGCGAAUUGAAAGCUAGGAGUUUUGGCCCGGCCACUUUUCUGACCUUUGCGUCGCUCAAACAAAGACACAGAAUGCAUCUGAAGUUACGUUUUGCCACGGAGGAGAGACAAGGUCUUUUGCUUUACAACGGACGAUAUAACGAGAAACAUGAUUUCAUAGCCCUGGAAAUAAUCGACUCGCACGUACAAUUCAGCUUUUCUCUCGGCGAUGAAGUCAGCAAAGCAACAGCAACAGUGCCCGGUGGUGUUUCUGACGGUCAGUGGCACACCGUGGAGGUUUCAUAUUGGAACAAAACGGUCGUCAUAUCGCUUGACGACUGCGACGUAGCUCUUGCCCUGAAGCACGGUGAUAAACUCGGAAAAAAGUGGGCUUGCGCUGGGAGAGGUGAACAGGUACUCGAACAAAGAUGCAGUUUGGUGACCGAAACAUGUCACAGAUUUUUGGACCUGACGGGGCCUCUGCAAGUUGGAGGUCUACCGGCGAUCCCCUCCAACUUUCAAAUCAGAAACAAGGACUUUGUAGGAUGUAUCAGCGACUUGCAUGUGGACCACCAAUUCGUCGAUCUCAAUUCAUUCGUAGCGGACAACGGAACGACCGUUGGAUGUCCGGAGAAAAGAGCAUUCUGUGCUUCGAUGCCCUGCGAGCACAAUGGAAAAUGCAAGGAGAUUUGGUCUGGCUACGUAUGCGAGUGCGAAGAGGGUUUUUCCGGCCCCCAAUGCACCGAGGAACUUGGAAAACCCUGGAGAUUUCAAGCCGAUGGUCUCCUCAGUUUCAAUCCGUUACUCAGACCUAUCCAGCUACCCUGGGUUACAGCACUAAGUCUCCGAACGCGGGAGAGGCACGCCUUCAUCAUGAGCAUUCAAAUUGGUCAGAAUAGCUCUGCCAUGCUAAGUCUCAAAGACGGUAGACUCGAAGCAUCUCUGGAUAGCAUAAACAUUCUCCAAGCCACCACGAAUAUUGCAGAUGGUGAAUGGCAUCGGGUUGAACUAGUCUGGCAAAGUGGACACGUUUCACUGGAUACGGAUUAUAGAAACAGGCCAGUAAAUUCAGCACUCACAGCGAAAUUACAGGGAUUGUACAUUGGUAAGAUUCUUGUCGGAGGGCCCGACCAGACAACGAACACUGAUUUGCCUUUCUUCAAUGGUUGCAUUCAAGACAUUAGAAUAGGAACCAAUCAAAGUACACUUCAAAGACCAACGGUACAGGAAAACGUCGGAUCUGGAUGUACAGCAGAGGAUGAAUGCAACGUUGACUGCCCAGAGACAUCGACCUGCUUGGCCAAGUGGAAGUCCAGCGAAUGCAUUUGCACGGUGGGCCGUGCCGGUCAAAACUGCGAGCCAGUCUGCGAACUUGACCCAUGCAGUGUCGGAGGUACCUGUGUCGAAGAUCUCCACGAACCAAAAGGCUACAAGUGCAAGUGUGAGUCCGAGGAAUAUUCCGGAGAGUACUGCGAAAUUAAAACCGAUCAACCCUGCCCUGCUACAUGGUGGGGUAGCCCAGUCUGCGGACCCUGUCACUGUGAUGAAUCCAGGGGAUACAAUCCAGCCUGUAAUAAAACCACCGGGGAGUGCUAUUGCAAGGAAAACCAUUACCAGCCACCGGGAGAGACGGAAUGUACGCCAUGCGAAUGCUACGCAACAGGAAGCUUUGGUCCAAGAUGCGAUAUCGAGACUGGACAGUGUAGAUGUCGUACAGGCGUGAUCGGCAGAUCUUGUACAGCUUGUCCGAAUCCAUACGCAGAGGUGACCCUGAGGGGGUGUGAGGUAGUAUAUGAUGGAUGUCCCAGGUCAUAUUCAGAGGGUUUGUGGUGGCCCAGAACUAAGUUCGGAGUGACUGCAGUAGAAGACUGCCCUGGGACUGCGGAAGGAAGGUCAUCGAGGUCCUGUGAUGACAAACUAGGUGGGUGGCAACCACCUGACUUGUUCAAUUGUACCUCAGAGGCUUUCAUUGAGCUCAGACAUCAGCUGGCAGCAAUCGAAGUUGACGAUCUCUCACUGAAUACCUACGUUGCAAUCAAAAUGGCAGCAGAUUUACACAAGGCAACCAAUGUCACGAGAGCCAUGUUUGGAGCGGAUAUCCUAGUCGCUGAAUCUCUGCUCAUUGCCUUGCUCAAUUACGAGGAAAGUUUAUCAGGAUUAAAUUUAACCCACAGUCAAGAUAAAGAUUAUAUAACGCAUCUCGUCGGUAUCUCUGGAACUAUUCUUCAAGCUAAACAUCUGGAAAAUUGGGGUAGGAUCGAAUCUCUCUCCGGAGACAGCCCCGAUAAAGUUUUGGAAGCCAUUGCAAGAUACUUGAAAAUUCUGACGGCAUCCCAGCAUGACACUUUCACGAGCCCGUUCGAAGUGGUUGAUCUCAAUAUGGUUCUAGGUUUGGACAUUGUGACAUCAGAAAGCCUAUUUGGCUACGAAGCUGCAGAUUACAAAGAGGAUUUAACAUUAUCAACAGUUAGACCAGGGGGUGCAGAUCAAAAAGUGGUGAUACCAGACACUACGAGCUUCCUGAGCUCCCUGGCGCAUUUAGGACCAUCCGUUAGCUUUCCCAAGUAUAACAAUUAUAUGUUAGAUCCGAACAAGUUCGAUCCAUACUCAAAGAUUCAAGUACCACUGACUUUGCUGGGAAUUGAACCACCAAAGCAAGGGGAGUUGAACAUCAAAAAUAGCUUGAGGACUGGAAAAGCCGUUAUAAGUUACGUACAAUACAGGGAAUUGGGCGCACUAAUGCCUCGAAGAUUCGACGAUUCAGUGGCAAUGAGAUGGGGUGUUGAAAUAGCAGUUGGUUCUCCGAUUGUAACUGUGUCAGUCCUAGUACCAUCAGAAAAUGGUCAUGAAUCUUUGACCGGAGUUCCAUUACAAUCGCCCGUUCAAAUCCGACUUUGGCUUAGCGAAGACGAUGGCUUUAAAACAAGAACUAAUCCUCAGUGUGUCCACUGGAGUACAGCUCGAGGAAUCGGAGAAUGGAGCCGAAUGGGUUGUACGACGGAGAUUGAUGAUACCACGCUAACUCCCGGUUCGAUAGUAAACUGCUCUUGUUUACACUUGGCGACUUUUGCACUUCUAACGGAUGUUCUAGAUCUAGAAUACGUGCCAGAACCGUCCCUAUUAGAAGACGUGACGAGUUACAGUGCCUUUGUUCUUGCGCUGCCUCUUCUACUCUCUGCACUUUUAAUUCUCGCCCUUAUACGUGGAGGUGGAACCAAUUCGAAUAGCAUACAUAAAAACUUAGUAUUUUGCGUGUUUAUCGCAGAGCUACUAUACUUGAUAGCACUGAAAGCUAGGAAUCCAUUGGUCUCGAACGAAUUUCCCUGUAAGUUGACUGCUAUUACUCUGCAUUAUGCGUGGCUGAGUACGUUUGCCUGGACUCUGGUAGACUCGGUACAUCUCUAUCGUAUGCUAACUGAGAUGCGCGAUGUUAAUCAUGGUCAAAUGAGAUUCUAUUACACCAUGGGAUAUGGACUGCCCGCGGUUAUUGUCGGACUUACCGUUGGAGUACGGGCAGAUCAAUAUGGAAACUUUUAUUUCUGCUGGUUGUCAAUCUACGAGCCUGUCAUUUGGGCUCUAAUAGGACCGAUUUGUACCGCUGUUGUGAUCAAUCUCUGCAUUCUGGUCAUGUCUGUUCGAGCGGCGUUUACACUGAAAGAGCACAUUAUGGGAUUUGGGAAUCUCAGGACUCUACUGUGGCUGUCAGUUGCAUCGUUACCCUUACUCGGGACGGUGUGGUCCUUAGCAGUACUCACUGCUUCUGAACAAUCCCCAACAUUGUCAUAUUUGCUGAGCAUAGCCGUUGUAACACAUGCGGCAUUUAGUCUGAUUGGAUAUUGUUUCAUUAAUGGACGGGUGAGGAGGAACUUAUAUCUCAGCUUAUUGCAAUGUUUUGGAAAGAAAUCGCCGCUACUGGAAGGCAGCAUGGGUAAUGGAAGCAGUAGCCAAAAUAUUAACGGACAAUCGCGAUCAGCUUUAGCAUACUCUUCAGCCUAUAGUGGUGCAGAGUCAACUUGCCGCAGAGUACACGUUGGUGUAUCGACGAGUAGCACUACAUCGCGAAGCACUAAUAAGACUGGAUCCAGUCCGUAUCGCAGUGAUACACAUCUCAGGCAUACCUCAACUUCAACCAGCAAUUAUAACAGCGACAGAGACCCGUAUCUGUCAUCCAGAAGUCAUCAUUCAACAUUACACGUCAGGCCAGAAGCAAUAGAGUCGCGCCGGCAGCGCAGAGAUUCGGAAUCGGAUUCUGAUGGUUCCCAAGCAGACGUAGGGGGCCGCAGCUUAGACUUGGCAAGUUCCCACAGCAGCGAUGACGAGGAUGUAACUCUGAGAUCUCACAAGGAUAUGGGAGUUUCAACUCAACAAUCAAUUACUCAUAGCUAUCUGCCCAACAUCCACAACAAUCCUUCCGAUCAUUUGAAUAUACUCUGCUCAAAUUCUGAACUGUUUCCGAAUAUCAAACCAAUCUAUGCACCCAGAUGGAGUUCGCAAUUACCGGAAGCGUAUCUACCAUCAAAUAUUGACGUAAGAGGAAGCCAAUGGUCCGGAGGUACUAUAUCAGACAAUGAAAUGGCCUCUAACAAAACGUCGAGUCCUAACCCAUUACCAUAUCCUGACAUGAAUUCACCUCAAAAAAAUCAUCCGGAUGAAAAUUAUUCUGAAGGAGAAGAAAAGCUUCAUCAUAUUGGUGAAAAAUACCUCUUCCCAUACACUGCCGAGGAAGACCAUACAAUAUCACCAACGCCAUACAUGCUACCGAUGUCAUCAAGAAUACUUGCAUCCAGUUUGAGUCAUCAUUCCCAGAACUCGAACCACGACAAUUUAAGUGGAUCAGAGAGGUACGGUAGCCUCAAGAGGGGACAAAGCUUACAUGGGUCGCAACAUGACAAUUUGAGUAGUUCCGAACGGUACGGCAGCCUAAAAAGAGGCAAGAUUACACCUAAUGUUUUGGAAACACCUGAAUAUAUUUUACCUAUGAGCGGUAGAAUUUUAUCUAGCUCUUUAACGCACGACUUACAACACAGCAACGAAUUAGCGGCUUUAAGACAACAGCAACAAUACGAACAGACCAUCACAGAGACCGAGUGGCGUUGGAACAUUCUAAAAUAAUGAUAUGCUUUCUAUCUCUGCUCGCGUUGGGUAUUUGGAAUUCAGUGAGGAGGAAGGAUACUAACGAGGAGACAUCGGUCUGAUAGUCCCUGAGGAAAACUACCGUACAAAAAAAUACCUUAAUUUAAGCCAUUUAUACAUUUUGACAAACAAAGGAACUCCAUCUAUUUUGAGCAACGGCCAUGACUGUACUUAAGAAUUUAGCCAUAUUGAUUAGCGUAUAUGUGUGAGUGCCUGUUUAAAUAAUUAUUAUGAUUUAAUAAUAAUGUAGCUUCGAAUUCUCAAUUUUAUAUAACUGGGUUUAUCGCGGCAGUUGUACAUUUGAUAAUUGCUAAGUGGUAGGUAUAAUAUGUGUUAUGGUAAUGAUUGUCGAUGUUAUCAACUCUCAAUCAGCCGUGGACUGAAAAUAUCCAGUGAGAUGAUCUCUAGCCCAUUUUCAUUCAUGUUCUUGAAAAAAAAUCAUUCUUGCGUACCUUAAAUAUUCCCCGUACUCAGUAUUGUGCAAUGUAUACAUUCCACGUAGUUUUAUUUACAAUGUAAUUGUUUUAGUAUAUCUUCGAUCGUUUUUUUCAGUAAACCGUUUUAUUUUACAUGCCAAUAUAGCGCAUAAGACAAGAUAUAAUAUUAUAUGAUAAUACUCAAGUUUUGUAUAUAUUUAUAUGGAGAAACGUGAAAACAAAAAAAAAUAAAUGAGAAUACAUAAUUUAUAUACCUCACUGAGAUUGUCCAAAUUCGCACCAUCCCACUGCACUUCAGAGGUAAGCAGUUUAAAUAUUCUACCUACUGUUUGAACUUCUGGUUGCAGAUUUAUUCUCAUUAAGAUCUAACUUGGCUACUUUGACAACUUGGAUCAAUUUAGCUCAAAGAUACGGAUCCCAGACCGAAAAUCAUAUCAAAACAGGUUCAAAUGAACAAUUUCAAUUUUUGACCUUAAAAUCUAAAAAAUUCCAAGAUGAUAGCCUGCUGAGCAAUUUUUUUCACUUUUAGUCAAAAAAUAAAGCAUGUCUUGUAACGUUGGACCAUAGAGGACAUUCAACAUUGCAAUAUUGGUACAUUUUGAUUAUAGAAAUGAACAUUUCAAUUGUUAGCAUGUGUAAUAUUCAAUUGAUAUGCAUACUGAAUAAAUAACUCAUCAUUGAACGUAGUACUCUUUUGAACUCAGAUGCUCAUCC